GACGAACGCUGGCGGCGUGCUUAACACAUGCAAGUCGAACGGAAAGGCCCUGCUUUUGUGGGGUGCUCGAGUGGCGAACGGGUGAGUAACACGUGAGUAACCUGCCCUUGACUUUGGGAUAACUUCAGGAAACUGGGGCUAAUACCGGAUAGGAGCUCCUGCUGCAUGGUGGGGGUUGGAAAGUUUCGGCGGUUGGGGAUGGACUCGCGGCUUAUCAGCUUGUUGGUGGGGUAGUGGCUUACCAAGGCUUUGACGGGUAGCCGGCCUGAGAGGGUGACCGACCACAUUGGGACUGAGAUACGGCCCAGACUCCUACGGGAGGCAGCAGUGGGGAAUAUUGCACAAUGGGCGGAAGCCUGAUGCAGCAACGCCGCGUGCGGGAUGACGGCCUUCGGGUUGUAAACCGCUUUCGCCUGUGACGAAGCGUGAGUGACGGUAAUGGGUAAAGAAGCACCGGCUAACUACGUGCCAGCAGCCGCGGUGAUACGUAGGGUGCGAGCGUUGUCCGGAUUUAUUGGGCGUAAAGGGCUCGUAGGUGGUUGAUCGCGUCGGAAGUGUAAUCUUGGGGCUUAACCCUGAGCGUGCUUUCGAUACGGGUUGACUUGAGGAAGGUAGGGGAGAAUGGAAUUCCUGGUGGAGCGGUGGAAUGCGCAGAUAUCAGGAGGAACACCAGUGGCGAAGGCGGUUCUCUGGGCCUUUCCUGACGCUGAGGAGCGAAAGCGUGGGGAGCGAACAGGCUUAGAUACCCUGGUAGUCCACGCUGUAAACGGUGGGUACUAGGUGUGGGGUCCAUUCCACGGGUUCCGUGCCGUAGCUAACGCUUUAAGUACCCCGCCUGGGGAGUACGGCCGCAAGGCUAAAACUCAAAGGAAUUGACGGGGCCCCGCACAAGCGGCGGAGCAUGCGGAUUAAUUCGAUGCAACGCGUAGAACCUUACCUGGGUUUGACAUGGAUCGGGAGCGCUCAGAGAUGGGUGUGCCUCUUUUGGGGUCGGUUCACAGGUGGUGCAUGGCUGUCGUCAGCUCGUGUCGUGAGAUGUUGGGUUAAGUCCCGCAACGAGCGCAACCCUUGUUCACUGUUGCCAGCACGUUAUGGUGGGGACUCAGUGGAGACCGCCGGGGUCAACUCGGAGGAAGGUGGGGAUGACGUCAAGUCAUCAUGCCCCUUAUGUCCAGGGCUUCACGCAUGCUACAAUGGCUGGUACAGAGAGUGGCGAGCCUGUGAGGGUGAGCGAAUCUCGGAAAGCCGGUCUCAGUUCGGAUUGGGGUCUGCAACUCGACCUCAUGAAGUCGGAGUCGCUAGUAAUCGCAGAUCAGCAACGCUGCGGUGAAUACGUUCCCGGG
rnacentral:rRNA from 1 species